UCCCCUCACAGGCUGGCCGGCUCCAGGGUGGAUUGCGUACAGCCCCAGGGUGGAUUGCGUAAGUAUCUCUUCAAAAAGCUCACCCUCAAACACGACUAGGAGC
rnacentral:pre_miRNA from 1 species